AAAUGAAUAGACGGGGGCCCGCACAAGCGGUGGAGCAUGUGGCUUAAUUCGAGGCAACGCGAAGAACCUUACCCGGGCUUGAAAUGGGAUGGACCGCCAGUGAAAGCUGGUUUUCCUUCGGGACCGUCUCACAGGUGCUGCAUGGCUGUCGUCAGCUCGUGCUGUGAAGUGUUCGGUUAAGUCCGGCAACGAGCGCAACCCGUGUGAUUAGUUACCAUCAGGUAAAGCUGGGAACUCUAAUCAGACUGCCCGUGUUAAGCGGGAGGAAGGCGCGGAUGACGUCAAGUCAGUAUGGCCCUUACGUCCGGGGCUGCACACGUGCUACAAUGGUCGGUACAAUGAGAAGCAAAAUCGCGAGGUGGAGCAAAACUACAAAACCGGCCUUAGUUCAGAUUGCAGUCUGCAACCCGACUGCAUGAAGUUGGAAUCGCUAGUAAAGGCGUAUCAGCUACGACGCCUUGAAUACGUUCCCGGGCCUUGUACACACCGCCCGU
rnacentral:rRNA from 1 species